rnacentral:rRNA from 1 species
UACGUAGGAGGCAAGCGUUGUCCGGAAUUACUGGGCGUAAAGCGCGUGUAGGUGGUGGGACAAGUCUGCUGUGAAAGCGCCUGGCUUAACCGGGCGAGGUCGGCGGAAACUGUCCGACUAGAGGACGGUAGAGGGGGGUAGAAUUCCGACGUGUAGCAGUGAAAUGCGUAGAGAUGUGGAGGAAUACCGAUGGCGAAGGCAGCCCCCUGGGAUAACACUGACGCUCAUGCACGAAAGCGUGGGGAGCAAACAGG